ACAAAAGCCAUAAAGAACACUAAAAGCUGCUAAACUCUUUUCGACUCACUUUUUUUUCCUAACACAUGCUCCUUUAAUUUUGGCACAUGUUUUCCCCUAAAUCAGUAUGUCAAAUGACCCCAUUACCCUUAAAAAUACAAUAAUUAGUACGUAGGGAUGCUUUAUGGGUGAGUCUCCUACGAAGGACCAAGUGGAUCCUGCUAGGGCUCAAUAUGAUGCAAAUAAGCAUGACCUAAAGGCUGACCUACGCUGGGGUCCACUAACAAGGUUGUUCGGGGAAGCGCAUGGUCGAUAGAGGCUGCUUUGCUUUCCAUCCACUCCAUACAUCCGAUGGUUGCCCCUCCUAAAAUAAGGGUGACUCAACUAGAGUUAGUGCGUACGACGUGCACUCCAAGACUUAUUGCAGAAGGAAUUGACUCGGAUUAUGCAAAUGAUGCCAGAUAUAAAGCGGUAACAUAUAAGGAGGAAGACUGUAAACAUGUACGCAGGCACUUAACAAUGACAACACAAAUGAUAACACAAAAAAUGUUUAUAUACCGGUAAUGUCAAACUAAGCCGAUACAACUUCAAAAAUAAGCUCGAAUUCUGAAAAAGUCCCCAGUAGAAUCGCCAGAGCUGUCACACCCAUUUUUAACUCCAAAAAGAAAUUAAUUUUAUCAUUUGAAAAGGUUAUUAUUAUUAAGCGACAAAAGGUGAAAAUUUAUUUUGAAAAGGACCUUUUAUAGUCAAAAUUUAGAGUCGGCACUUGGUAUAAUCUGGUGUGCUAAGUCACCAUUGGAAAAUUCUUUUCAAAAUAAUUUGACUCUUUAAAAUUAAUUUGCGAAUAGAGAUUCCGGCAAAGGAAUUUUGUUGACCGAGGUGAAGGUGUUAAGCACCCCUCAAUCCCGUGGUUCGACCAUGGUAUCUUGGUGGAGCAUAUCGACUAAUUUGACAUUACAAAUGUAUAAACCACAUAAAACACAUAAAAUAAUCAAUCAAACACAUGAAAUAAAACAAAUCCAAAAUAUAGUGUUCAGUCCAAUUAUACAGUCCCAAAAUAGAAAAAAAUGCGAAAAUGUAAAUCCUAUCCUAAACUAAUCCUAUACUAAUGCUCUACCCGACGCCUCGGGCCUUCAUCAUGAUCAUUUGCCACCAACAUGAUACGUCGGGGCAUUCUCCAGUGAAUAAAUAAAAUGAGCCUCGGGGAUUUCCCCGGCUAAAUGAAUACAUUUAAUGAAAUAUAAUAAAAAUGAAGAAAAUCACUCAAACAUAAACAUUUAUACAUUCGAUGAUUAGAAUCCUAUGAGUUGGCUAACCCAAAUCUAGAAUUUGCCUACUAGUUUCAGCCUGAAACAUGAUACUAUUAACGUUCAACAUCAACAAUGAAUCAAAAUACUAUAAUACUCACUCUUAUUGAUUUUUUGAUUUCUGACCCAAAACAACCAAAUUUAAUUAUCAAACGAGAUACCAUUUCAUCACAUAAUCCAUAAUGAAUCCACAAUCGAGGGAAUCAAACAACGAAUCAAAACAACCAACAAUUCUCAUCAUCACAUAUCAACCAACAUGAUAUUUAAUCCAAUGCACCAGAUAUCAUCAAUAAUGAAAUAAAAAGAGAUGAAAGAGUAGAAUUGGACCUCAUUUGAAGCUUCCAAACUCAAUGUUAUUCGAAUAAAGAGAGUCCGCACCUGAAAAUCUCAAACAAAACCUCCGACAAUGAACUCCCGAUUUUGACAAACCCAAAAUUUGAACUGACCUAAUAAGUUGACUGACCCAUUUUAAUUAAUAGUUUUCCUAUUGGGGUUUUGAGUCAAAAAUAGGAACUGGCGCGUGUGGGUUGCGGAUUCCUUAUGUUUAGCGAUAAUGAAGGUUUUGAUUCUCUGGUUGCUGGUUUUGCAUUUUCCAAUGAGGUUGUUUUGGUCCAACAUUGGAGCUGGCAGGAUAUUCUCUGGCGAGAAUCCGCUGAAAUAGUAACAGCGGCAUACGUUCCGAUCAAAUCUCUCUCUCUAUUUUUAUCCCUGUCAAUCUCUCUCUCAAUUUCACUAUCUAGCUAAUUUUCUUUACUCUCUUGCCUUACUCUCUUCUCUCUCCAUGUCUCUAUAUGCAUGUGUGUGUGCUGGUUAUGCAAAUUUCGAUGAGGAUAAGUGAUCUCUAUUCCAUUUUUCAGUGAGCUCUCUAUAUGUGUUAAUGGUGACUGUGUGUAGUCGAUGGGUAUGGUCUCGGUGUGUAUGGCAGCAACGAUGGAGUGUGUAUGUGAUGUUUUCUUUGGAGUGGAAAAAUGGAGAUUGUGAGUGUAUUUCAUGUGUGGAGAAGAAGCUGUGAGGUGUUUGUGUGUAUCGUCUAUAUGGCAUGAAUGAAAAUUGGGAGUAUAUGGAGAGGGGUGUUGCUAUAUGUGUUUUAUGAUGUGGGACACGUGAGUGGGGUAGGAGUAGGGGUAUGGGGUGGCGAUGAGUUGUCCAAAAUUAAUAGGAGAAGUGGUUAGGAUGAUUAAAACAAGAUAAAAUUUGUUAGAAAUUUUGUUGAGGGUUGUUAUUUUUUGUAUUUUUGUGGAGGUAUAAUCACGUGGGUGAGGGUGUAUGAUAGUAAAAAUGAAUAAAAUGGAUUUCGAGAGGAACAAAAUUAGGUGUCUACAACGGGUUUCAACUGAAUUGAAAUAGUAUUCUUCCAUUACUGGGCCCUUUCAAAUUAGGUUGCUUCAGUUGGGGAUAGAUGCUUUCGGAAGUGUUGAUUUCUACUGAUAUGCUACAAUUUUUCACUUCUUACAGUCAUUUCACAACUUGAAGUAUAGAAGUUACAAAAAUUAAGUGCACAUAUUUGCUGCUGACACGGUUCCUAGAAGGCUAACUACAGCACAGCAUAUACAUUUUCACACAGUGGCAGGAGCUGAUGAGUUUGGGAAUAUCUACUUUGGAGAUGCAUUUAAGGCAAGAGUUACCACCUUUAUAUGGCAGGGAUCACACGGCCUACAGAUCUGCCUACUUCCCAGUUAAGGCUGCGUGGAAUGAAAAAAAUGACAAGAAUAUAUGAAAUGCAAGGUGUAAAUGUCAUCCCUGUGCUCAAGUUCAUAACCCACUUUGGAGUGGAUAAAUCUACUGAGUUUUGUUUUAAGUACGCUCCAUUGAGAAUGUAAAGAAGUAUGAACCGAAGUAUACACUGAUCCACAGUGAAUUGGAUACUAAGGCGGACAAGUCUAGAAAGUAAAUGAAAGAGCGGAAGAAAAAAAUGUUGAUCCAAAUGAUUUGUUGUUUUUGCCCAACUUCAUAUUUUUAUUAGCCAUAAUCUUCUUCAGAUAUAUCUUUUGUAUAUGAAAGUGAUUCCUCAAUUUUUAUCCAUACUUGUACGGUUUAUCCUGACUCUGAUUUUCUUUAUUAUUUAUUUCUUCCCAAGUCAAUGACUGAAAAAUAGCUGAAGACACUUUGCAUUGAUACAGUUACUUCUCGUGCCACUAAGAAAAAGCCUGUUAUUCAGCAGAUAACAUUUUUGAAGGAUGUAAAAAAAGGACAAGUAGUGGCAAAGAAUCAUUCUUGUGGAGUAGCUUUUCUUGAGUUCUUGCUAUGGACAUGCACUUGUGGUUUUGACAGUUCUUAACAACAAUACUGAGACUUUCGGUCCCGAGCAUCGUCCAAGAGUGGAGUUUGCUCUUGAUAAUAUCCAAACAAUGAAGCUUCAGCAGCAAGGUUUUAAGAGGAACAAAGAAGAUUUUCACAAAAAUGACAAUACAAAUAACGGGAUACCCACAAUAAACAAUCGAGAAAAUGCAAGGCCACAGGAGAUGCAUUAUCAGUGGCAGGGAAUAGCAAAAAAGCUAAAAACAAGCAUGUCAGAGGUGCCAAAGAUGGAGAUCAACUGAAAAACAGAGGUGUUAAAGUAUCCAUCUCUGCAGAAGUAGACGAGCAAAAGAACAAAAAGAAAGGUAAAAAGCUGAGAGGGGCAAAACAAGAGCUAAAAGAUAAUCAACAAGCAACCAAGCAAGGUCACUUUGGUAGUGAAAGUUCCAAUAAUGCUGCCCUCUAAGUUGGAUGUAAAGAAGAUGUUGUAGUGAGAACAAAGAAGAGGAAGUUUGGGGAUAAAACAAAUAGAAACAAAAUAUCAGUGUACAAAACAAGAAAAGGGACAAAAAGAAAAAAGACCCCCUUGGAUGAGAUAGAGUAGACAAGCUAGAUAUGUUUAUUGAACAAUAUACAUUUAAAUUCACACACAACAUUUCGAAUCAAACCGAUGGUAACUAGUAGCUCUCUAAGCAGCUUAAGAGGUGGUUCCAAUCCUAUACCAUUCUCAAGUUCUUAUGUAGCUUAAUAUUAUGGUGAUAGUAAGAACAACUCCGUUGUCGAUUUUGGUUUGUAUUUUGUUGUAUUUCCUCCCUAAAAUAUCUAUUAACGGUUAUAAAUUUAAAAAUA